ACGGGAGGCAGCAGUGGGGAAUAUUGGACAAUGGGGGAAACCCUGAUCCAGCGACGCCGCGUGAGUGAAGAAGUAUUUCGGUAUGUAAAGCUCUAUCAGCAGGGAAGAUAAUGACGGUACCUGACUAAGAAGCCCCGGCUAACUACGUGCCAGCAGCCGCGGUAAUACGUAGGGGGCAAGCGUUAUCCGGAUUUACUGGGUGUAAAGGGAGCGUAGACGGCUGUGCAAGUCUGAAGUGAAAUCCGCGGGCUCAACCCGUGAACUGCUUUGGAAACUGCAUAGCUAGAGUGCAGGAGGGGUAAGUGGAAUUCCUAGUGUAGCGGUGAAAUGCGUAGAUAUUAGGAGGAACACCAGUGGCGAAGGCGGCUUACUGGACUGUAACUGACGUUGAGGCUCGAAAGCGUGGGGAGCAAACAGGAUUAGAUACCCUGGUA
rnacentral:rRNA from 1 species